ACACCAGCGCCACAAGUGGCGUUCGCGAUUAUUGGGCCUAAAGCGUCCGUAGCUGGUUCUGUAAGUUUUUUGUGAAAGAGUGGAGCUUAACUCUACUUCGUGCAAGAAAGACUGCAGGGCUUGAGACUGGAAGGAGUAAGAGGUAUUUCUGGGGGACUGGUAAAAUGGAAUAAUCCCAGAAGGACCACCAAUGGCGAAGGCAUCUUACUAGGACAGUUCUGACAGUGAGGGACGAAAGCCAGGGGAGCGAACCGGAUUAGAAACCCUAGUAGUCC
rnacentral:rRNA from 1 species